GCAGGCAGUAUUUAUGAUUAUAUCGAAUGUAGGUAGGUAUUUUUGUUUUGGGUUGUUUUAUGCUGCUCAAUCUUUCAUUUCUCGUAUAUAGUAUAUAGUAGUAUAGCAUUUUAAAUGAAAAUGAAAUGAAGUUAAGUAAGACUAAGGGUACGAGUAUCAAAAGCAGGUACCUAUUCGAAUUCGGCUUUAUUUAUCUGAAUAGUUUUCUCGAGUUGUAAUAAUUUUACUCUACCCAUACGUCUAUAAAACAAUGUGAUAUUUCAGGUUUUCGUAUAUAAUAUAUUCCUGACGACAUAGACAAAGAUUUAUACGCCGGUACACUGUCACCAAUCAAGAAGUCAUAAGUAAUAGCUCUCUUUGUGCGCAUACUAUAUUUCAGUUAAUAUAGGAACUAUCUACAAAAGUUCAGCUACGAUAUCCUGAGUUGCACCAUAAACACACGUUUUGCACCUCCAGAUAAACGUCAAUUCGUAUCUUUACUGCGCAAGUGCGCAAUCAAUUACCGGAGCCCUAAGGCCAACGCAACUCGUAUGAACUUGAAACCGCAAUUGGAAAACCACUUAACGACAUUGUCCUUUUGUCGACGGCUUGCAGGUGCGUGGUGACGUCAGGAUGGCCAUGAGAAUAUCCCGAGAGCUGCCAUUCUCACGCCUGCGCCAACCAGUUCCUCGCCAAACCGAGUGCCGUUAGUUACUGCAACUGCAUGCGUGUUUUAGAUAACCCGUUGUGCUCGACCAUAUAAUGAAACGUCGCUAUUUUAGCAUUUCAGGUCUACACAACCUACCGUUUCUACCUAUAAGCACCGCACAAGAAUAUGACGAAGCCUGUUGCAUAUCGAUAUAAAACACAUUUCCAUAUUUAAGAAAUAAACCUGUUAUUGUAAAAGUAUUCCCAUAAACAAUGUUAAACUUUCUCACGCCAAACACUAAUAUGGAGUCAAGUGUCUGUGAUUGCAGCAAAAUUAAACUGUCAUGUGAUUAAACACCGUCACCCCAUUUGCAUUAGAUAUUACCAUAAAAUCAGUCCCAUGUCGCUGAUUGUUCGGGGGGGUGUGUGUGAAUGGUCUGCCGGAAACGGCUGUGAUGCGUGUAAUCUAUUCCGAUUCCAAAAUAAUGGUGCACAUAGGUGCGACGGUUUGCGCGGCCUCGGCGCCGGCGCACGGAUCGUGUUGUUUACCGUUACAUUGAAUGCAUCGACGUUUAACGAUGCUCGUUCGUUUCAUGCUGCUGCAUUAAACUGAUUUCAUCUGGGAUUCCUCUCAUGAUUUUGGGUUAAUCGAUAUGCAAUUAGCCAGGUUCAUUUUGUAAGCAAGACCACCAACGUUUAAAGGUCGGAUUGAUAGUUUACUUAGGUGUAAUACCAUAUAUCAUUUAGUAAAUUUUACUUUAAGGAUAUUUUUCAAUGAAUUUCUGUGUGUACGUACGAGUAGUAUGUUCCCUGUUCUGUGUGUAUAUAUGUUUAAGAUGUUGCUUAUAUACUGUGGAAGUAGGUUGUGUCUACCUAUAGGCGCAAGCAUGAGGCGGCAAAUAAAGCAGGGACAAAGGCGUUUCAGGCUCGUUAACUUCUUAAUGUCUUGUACCUAAAUUACUGCCGCAAUUUUGAUACACAUCAUAGUGCGAAAAAAAAGAGUUUACACUGCAACCCAAUAUUACAAUAUUUAAGCAUUAAUUUUAACUCAAGUUUAUGAAUUUAAGAAUACGCAGGUAAACUCAAGUAGUCAGCAUACAUUUUUAGAGACGCCAGAAGAAAGGGAAAUAAUUUAUUUACUUCAUUGGAGACCAUAGCCAUAUUGCAGAAAUCUAAGCACACCAAUAGCCCUGUUGAAGCAAUGUUAUCGUGAAAGCGGCAUCAGGCUACUUAAAUACGCACACGAGAUAUUUUCAAAAGUCUUAGGGUGAAAUGGGAGCUUUCGCGUCAGAAUUAACACUCUAUACUUUUCAUUUCGAAUAAGAGGAUAGGAAAAUACAUUUACAUUCUAUCAUAUUUCUUAGGUUUUGAAACGUAUUAUAUUUCAUAUAUUAUGAAAAAAGAUUGAAGUGACAAUUUUAUAAACUUAUAGGAACUUAGGUAUAGGAAUAGUUUGUUAUAAGUAUGUAUAUAAAAAAAACUGCUUAAGAGCAUUUCGGGCUAUUUUGAAAGAACUAUCCAACGACACCCCACACUAUACGCUAAUUUUUUUUUUAGAUUUUAUUUUAUCACUUUGUCGGAUUGAUUGAUUUAAGUACUUAAUAUAUGCAUGCCGAAUUUCAGCUUUCUAGCACUAACGACCACGGAGCAAAAUUUCGGACAGACAUACGGACAUGGCAAAACUAUAAGAGUUCCUAAUUGACUAUGGAAUCCUAAAAAAGAUCGUCAUUUGUGGACUCAAGAGUAUGAGUAUGUAAUAUAAAUCUAUUUUAAACCAUCUGUAGCAAUAAAAAAAAACUCUUUCAGUUCCACAUAUAACAUACUGACGUAAGUAAGAAGGUACAUACAAAUACAUAGUGUGUCUAUUUCAAUUUUUAAGAUAUUUCUCAUUUUUCUUAAAACAAAGCCCUGUAUCAUAGAGAAGGCUGAGGUUUCAGAGUCAGAGUACCGGUGCAGUGUGCACUGAGGGUAAGUUGAUACCUACAGGCCGGCGUCUGGCGGUAACCGGAGCCGGCGCGGUGCUCGGGCGCACCCGUCGCGGCGCGCGCACCGCUCUGCUGGACAGACGGACAGUUCUCUGCACCACAUAAGCCGACAGCCUCUGAACAUUUACAUAUAACAAGCUAUCUGAGAUAACACUGGAUCGCACGAGAGAGUGUUGCCAAGAACUGCCCUGGAUUAACUACCUAUACGGUACAAUUAGUUAGGGAGUUCGCUUGGCAAUCAUAAUUUAAGGAGGCACACCUGCAUUGAGAAUCGUGCUAUAUGAAAACUACGCUUGUGUAAUUUAGAGCCAAGUUGCUGAAAUAAGCACGUCUCAGAAAUAAUCUCGGAAGUCUAAAAUAAUGAUAAGGAAUCUUAACGAUGAAAACACGGUCCACUCGCUUGGAUGCAGUUACUCGAAUAUAGCCUGAUCGCAAGAGUAAUUGGGUAACAGUUGGAAACUCAUAUCGGCCGUUCAAUUACAUUACAGCGCAUGCCCUUAAAAAGUGGAAAGGAGUAAAAAAUCAAGAGCGAGGCGAACAUUACCGGAGCGUUACAGUAAAUUAUUGGUUUGCGAGUAACUGGACGCUGGCAACAGGUGCCUUCCGGAUCCGGACUGCCAGUUAAAGUGCAUAUUUGUUUAGUUAAAUAGGUGCAUAAUGCAUAACUCUAAUUUGAAAAUACAAGUUUAGGUAACAUGUACAAUAUAAUAAAUAUUGGAGGGCAAUUUGACAAAAAAGUGACUACCUAAUGUAUAGACAUUUAAUUCUUCUAUAUCCAUACGUUUCUUUGUGAUACUUAGAUACUGUUUUUAUGUGGUGUAGAAAUGUUACUAAAUGAGCGAAACAUAAAUGUAUCUUAUGCAACGAAUCGAUAAGAUAUUUAAGCAGUAUAAUAAAACAAGUAGCAAUUAAAAUCAUUGUAUUAUGUGUAUCUUCAUCAUAUAUUUAAGAGUUAGACUCUUGUCGGUGGAGCGAUUUCCAUGUGUGUCGGUCCUCUGCCUUCUCCUUGACAGCCUGAUACGACACGACGAUGAAUUUUUCCUUUACUUGAUCUAUGUACGUUCUCCUUGGUCUCCCCCUCCGUCUCCUUGCCUCAACUCUCCCUUCAAUUAUGUUCUUGAUAUAUUCGUCGUGUCGUAGCAGGUGUCCAAGCAUCUUUCCUCUUCUAUUUUCUAUGUUUCUCAACAAACUCCUCUUCUUUCCUACCAUGCGUAAAACCUCUUCAUUUGUUUUCUUCUCCUUCCAGCUCACCUUUGCCAUUCGCCGCCAGCACCACAUCUCAAAAGCCAGCCUUUCCCUAUCACGUUGCCUGAUUGUCCACGUUUCGCUUCCGUAUAGUGCUAUGCUCCAGAUGUACACUUUUAUGAGCCUCUUGCGUAUAUUGCCUGAUAUUCGGGCUUUAAAUAGGCACUUUAUUGUGUUAAAAGCAUGUAAAAUCAUUGUAUAGGUGACACAGCUCAGUUAAGAAAGCACAUCAAAUAUUUUUUGUAGGUAUAGCAAUCUGUCAGACUUACAUAAUGUAUAUUCUCAUUUAUUUAUUAAUAUUAUUUUUCUUUUCCGUGUGUAAGAAAAGUUUUUUCUUAUUUAAUGCAUGUUAAUUAUAAGAUGUAAUGUUUUGAAAAGAUGUGUCCCGCCGAGUUUCUUGCCGGUCCCGAUUGGGAUACCCUCCUCCAAUUGAGGGGGGAUUUAAAUCUUCUCGGGUCAGAGGUGUAGGGUUAGAGCCGGUGUAGCUUUAUUUGACGUUCAUAAGCGCAUUGUAAUAUACCUACUUGAAUAAUAAACUAUCUUUAUCUCUUUAAAACAA